UCCUUGAUGGUCCAACGGCUAGGAUUGCCCGCUUUCACUUGUUCUUAAAGACUUGAAAGGUUCCGGGCCGGCCCGGGUUCGACUCCCGGUCAGGGAA